ACGAACGCUGGCGGCGUGCUUAACACAUGCAAGUCGAACGGUGAAGCGCCUUCCUUUUUGGUGGGUGUGGAUGAGUGGCGAACGGGUGAGUAACACGUGAGUAACCUGCCCCCUUCUUCUGGAUAACCGCAUGAAAGUGUGGCUAAUACGGGAUAUUCUGGGUCUGUCGCAUGAUGGGUCUGGGAAAGAUAUUGUUUCGGUGGGGGAUGGGCUCGCGGCCUAUCAGCUUGUUGGUGGGGUGAUGGCCUACCAAGGCGGUGACGGGUAGCCGGCCUGAGAGGGUGGACGGUCACACUGGGACUGAGACACGGCCCAGACUCCUACGGGAGGCAGCAAUGGGGAAUAUUGCACAAUGGGCGCAAGCCUGAUGCAGCGACGCCGCGUGAGGGAUGGAGGCCUUCGGGUUGUGAACCUCUUUCGCCAGUGAAGCAGGCCUGCCUCGUUUGUGGGUGGGUUGACGGUAGCUGGAUAAGAAGCGCCGGCUAACUACGUG
rnacentral:rRNA from 1 species